AGGACGAACGCUGGCGGCGUGCUUAACACAUGCAAGUCGAGCGAGAGCCAGUUGAGGGGUAACCCUCGACUGGGGACAGCGGCGAACGGGUGCGUAACACGUGGGCAACCUGCCCCUGACACUGGGAUAACCCCGGGAAACCGGAGCUAAUACCGGAUACUCUCGGCCGAUCACAUGGCUGGCCGAGGAAAGGUCCGCCGGUCAGGGAUGGGCCCGCGGCCUAUCAGCUUGUUGGUGGGGUAACGGCCUACCAAGGCGACGACGGGUAGCUGGUCUGAGAGGACGACCAGCCACACUGGAACUGAGAUACGGUCCAGACUCCUACGGGAGGCAGCAGUGGGGAAUAUUGCACAAUGGGCGAAAGCCUGAUGCAGCGACGCCGCGUGAGGGAUGAAGGCCUUCGGGUCGUAAACCUCUUUCGGCAGGGACGAAGCGAUCAGUGACGGUACCUGCAGAGAAGCCCGGCUAACUACGUGCCAGCAGCCGC
rnacentral:rRNA from 1 species